CAAAUUAGAGCUUGAAUAAGUAUUUUAUUUACAUUAAAAAGAUAAUCUUUGAUUUAAUUUGAAUU
rnacentral:tRNA from 1 species